rnacentral:rRNA from 1 species
UACGAAGGGGGCUAGCGUUGCUCGGAAUCACUGGGCGUAAAGCGCACGUAGGCGGAUUUCUAAGUCAGGGGUGAAAUCCUGGAGCUCAACUCCAGAACUGCCUUUGAUACUGGGAAUCUCGAGUCCGGGAGAGGUGAGUGGAACUGCGAGUGUAGAGGUGAAAUUCGUAGAUAUUCGCAAGAACACCAGUGGCGAAGGCGGCUUCCUGGACACCAACUGACGCUGAGACGCGAAAGCGUGGGGAGCAAACAGG